GAUGAACGCUGGCGGCGUGCCUAAUACGUGCAAGUCGAGCGAACAGAUGAGGAGCUUGCUCCUCUGACGUUAGCGGCGGACGGGUGAGUAACACGUGGAUAACCUACCUAUAAGACUGGGAUAACUUCGGGAAACCGGAGCUAAUACCGGAUAAUAUAUUGAACCGCAUGGUUCAAUAGUGAAAGACGGUUUUGCUGUCACUUAUAGAUGGAUCCGCGCCGCAUUAGCUAGUUGGUAAGGUAACGGCUUACCAAGGCAACGAUGCGUAGCCGACCUGAGAGGGUGAUCGGACACACUGGAACUGAGACACGGUCCAGACUCCUACGGGAGGCAGCAGUAGGGAAUCUUCCGCAAUGGGCGAAAGCCUGACGGAGCAACGCCGCGUGAGUGAUGAAGGUCUUCGGAUCGUAAAACUCUGUUAUUAGGGAAGAACAAAUGUGUAAGUAACUAUGCACGUCUUGACGGUACCUAAUCAGAAAGCCACGGCUAACUACGUG
rnacentral:rRNA from 1 species